UCUACGGGUGGCAGCAGUGGGGGAUAUUGCACAAUGGGGGGAACCCUGAUGCAGCGACGCCGCGUGAACGAAGAAAUAUUUCGGUAUGUAAAGUUCUAUCAGCAGGGAAGAAAAUGACAGUACCUGACCAAGAAGCCCCGGCUAACUACGUGCCAGCAGCCGCGGUAAUACGUAGGGGGCGAGCGUUAUCCGGAUUCACUGGGCGUAAAGGGAGCGCAGGCGGCACGGCAAGUCCGGUGUGAAAGCCCGGGGCCCAACCCCGGGACUGCACUGGAAACUGCCGGGCUGGAGUGUCGGAGGGGCAGGCGGAAUUCCUAGUGUAGCGGUGAAAUGCGUAGAUAUUAGGAGGAACACCGGUGGCGAAGGCGGCCUGCUGGACGACGACUGACGCUGAGGCUCGAAAGCGUGGGGAGCAAACAGGAUUAGAUACCCUUGUAGUC
rnacentral:rRNA from 1 species